UCUAUAUUAUUAUAAUUAUAUAGCAGGUUUUUACUAUAAAACCCCCUAUUUCUAAAAUUAACUUCGAAUUAAAUAAAAAUACCCGCUAAAUUUAAAUAUAUUAAUAAAUAGAAGAAAAGAAACUAAUAGGGAUUACCCUAAUAAUAGCAAAUAAAGUAGUAAUAGUUCAAAUUUAAAAUCUAACUUCGGCCCGAAUUAUAAUUUAUAGAAGAAGCUUUUAGUAAAGCACUUUUUAAAUCCCUUAGAACAGAGCGCUAUAGAGGGUAAAAGCCCUAUAUAGUUGGAUGCCGAUCUAAUAUAAAGUUCCUUUAAUAAAUUAAAUAAUUUAGGAAUACUAUUUAAAAUAGGAGGUAAAUUUCUUCUAAAAUUAAAUACCGGCUAGAGAUUAAUAGCGUAUAAGUAGAAUAAUUAAAAAAUAAAAAAUAUUUUAAAAAGAGGAUUAAAUAGUAUGUAAAAUUAUUAAAAGGGAAGCGUUUAUAAUUAGACUUAUACUAUUCUAAUUAUUUAAUAUUUUUACCAGUAUAUUUAGGAUAGUUUAAAUUAGCAUCGGUUUUAGUAGGGGGAUAAAAGUCCGAGGAACGUAGCUCCUCUAGGAGUAUUAUAACCCCGGGCGUAAUACCUUUACUAGGACUAAAGUUCGCGCAUUUAUAAGGAUAUUAGCGUAAUAGUUAUUAAUAACCUAUUUUAAAAUACGGAUUAAAGAAUCAAAGUUUUACACAAAUAUUUAGGUAUAAAAUCCGUAUGUAUAAUAAAAGUAAAUGUAAGUAAGAACUUCGGCGUAUUAUCGACCGAUCUUAAUAUAUUCGAAUAAAUUUAAAUAAAAAUAUUAAACCUUAAACUUAAAAGAUAGUAAAUUAUAUUUAGAUAGGGUGAAGCUAAAGGAAAUUCUAGUAGAAGUUUGUAAUAAUUUUAACAUACAAAUCGAUUAUUAAAUUUAAGUAUAGGAGCGAAAGAUUAAUCGAAUUAUUUAGUAAUUAAUUACUACCGAAAUUUCCCUUAGGAUAAUAGUAUUAUUCUUUAGUUUUAUAAAGUAAAGCGAAUAAUUAAGGACUCGGGGGCGCUUUUUAACCUUUAUCUAUUUUUAAAUUUUAAAUAUAUAAGAAGCCCUUAUUAUUUAAUUAAACGUAGGUAUUCAAAUAUACUAAUAUUAGUAGGCUAUUUUUAGUAAAUAAAAUUAGUAAUAUAAAAUAAAUUAAAUACAGGGUUAAAGUACUAGAGUAGAUGCUUAUUAAAUACUAUAAAAAGCGUUAGUAUAUUUUAAUAGUAGGACGGUGGUUAUAAAAGUCGGAAUCCGCUAAAGACUAUAUAAUAAUUCACCUACCGAAUAUAUUAGCCCUAAAAAUAGAUAGUAUUUAAGCGUUCCACCUAUACCCCGCCCUUAGGGUAGAAAUAAUACUCUAAGGAGUAGGUGGUUGUAGAGGUUAGUAACGAAGCCUAGGGUAUAAGCCCGGGUUGAAUGGCCUCUAAUAUAGAUUUUAAUAGUAGUAGUAAAUAUUUUAAUAAGAAUUUAAAGGAU